rnacentral:piRNA from 1 species
UAAAGCAGGGAAUAAAAAGCUACUUGGCCUC